UACAUAGGGUGCGAGCGUUAAUCGGAAUUACUGGGCGUAAAGGGCGCGUAGGCGGUUAUUUAAGUUAGAUGUGAAAUCCCUGGGCUUAACCUAGGAACUGCAUCUGAUACUGGAUAGCUGGAGUGCGGUAGAGGGUAGUGGAAUUUCCGGUGUAGCGGUGAAAUGCGUAGAUAUCGGAAGGAACACCAGUGGCGAAGGCGGCUACCUGGACUGACACUGACGCUGAGGCGCGAGAGCGUGGGGAGCAAACAGG
rnacentral:rRNA from 1 species